GACGAACGCUGGCGGCGUGCUUAACACAUGCAAGUCGAACGGGAAGGCCCUGCUUUUGUGGGGUGCUCGAGUGGCGAACGGGUGAGUAACACGUGAGUAACCUUCCCUUGACUUUGUGAUAACUUCAGGAAACUGGGGCUAAUAACGGAUAGUAGCUCCUGCUGCAUGGUGGGGGGUGGAAAGUUUCGGCGGUUGGGGAUGGACUCGCGGCUUAUCAGCUUGUGGGUGGGGUAGUGGCUUACCAAGGCUUUGACGGGUAGCCGGCCUGAGAGGGUGACCGGCCACAUUGGGACUGAGAUCCGGCCCAGACUCCUACGGGAGGUAGAAGUGGGGAAUAUUGCACAAUGGGCGGAAGCGUGAUGCAGCAACGCCGCGUGCGGGAUGAAGGCCUUCGGGUCGUAAACCGCUUUCGCCUGUGACGAAGCGUGAGUGACGGUAAUGGGUAAAGAAGCACCGGCUAACUACGUG
rnacentral:rRNA from 1 species